UACGUAGGGAGCAAGCGUUGUUCGGAUUUACUGGGCGUAAAGGGCGCGUAGGCGGCAAUUCAAGUCAGCUGUGAAAUCUCCGGGCUUAACUCGGAACGGUCAGCUGAUACUGCUUUGCUAGAGUGCGGAAGGGGCAAUCGGAAUUCUCGGUGUAGCGGUGAAAUGCGCAGAUAUCAGGAAGAACACCAAUGGCGAAAAGCAGCUCUCUGGGGACGGUACUGACGCUGAGGAGCGAAAAGCGUGGGUAGCAAACAGG
rnacentral:rRNA from 1 species